UCUCCGUAGGUGAACCUGCGGAGGGAUCAUUACCGAGCUCAUGCCCUUACGGGUAGAUCUCCCACCCUGUGUUAUUAUUACCUUUGUUGCUUUGGCGGGCCGCCAGGCUCCGGUCAGGCCAUCGGCUUCGGCUGGUAAGCGCCCGCCAGAGGACCCUAUAUCCUGAUUAUUAGUGUCGUCUGAGUACUAUAUAAUAGUUAAAACUUUCAACAACGGAUCUCUUGGUUCUG
rnacentral:misc_RNA from 1 species